rnacentral:rRNA from 1 species
UAGGGAAUCUUCCACAAUGGACGAAAGUCUGAUGGAGCAACGCCGCGUGAGUGAAGAAGGUUUUCGGAUCGUAAAGCUCUGUUGUUGGUGAAGAAGGAUAGAGGCAGUAACUGGUCUUUAUUUGACGGUAAUCAACUAGAAAGUCACGGCUAACUACGUGCCAG